AACCAUUGCCAAUUAUUUUUGGAUUUGGCAACCCUCAAAUACGCAACAGUUCAAAAUCGUUGCCUAUGGGGGGGUUUGAACCGUUGCCAAUUUGCUCUUUUCAUGUAGCGUCUAUAAUAGGAAUUAGGAACUCAUCUAGACUAUUGAUCGCGCUUAAUCUAAUGGCUCACAUUCCACCCGCCUCAUUAAUGGCAUUUUUGUAAUUUAUGCAUUGAAUGACCUUCGUCCUAACUCAUGCGCUGUUCAUUUUCUCUCUCUCUUCUUCCGCAUUUUCUCUCUCUAGAAUUUGUUUUCUCUCUUCUCCUGCAAACUCACUCUUCUCUUGCAAUUCCUCUAAUCUUUCCGCACGGCAUCAAUUUUCAUCUUCUCAUCUUCGUGCAUUCUUCAAGCAAGUUGAUGGGCAGUUAUGAUGAUGGCUCCCCAUUAAUGCUGCAAUGCCUCACUCACUUGAUGUUGAUCACGUCAUCAAGAUCAAGUUGAUUUUUCACAAUUGAACAUGUGAAGAUCAGCCCGAAAAAUGAUCGGGUUGAGUGCUGCUGUUGGCCCGGCCUAGGCUGCUGCUACAGCUGCUGGCCCUGCCUAGACUGUUGCUGCAGCUGCUUCCCUGCCAUGGCUUGCUGCUGCUAUGCUAUUUCUGCUCUACCGCCUGCUGCUGCUAUGCUACUUUUGCUCUGCUGCCUGCUGCUCGGGAGUUCUUAAAGUUUAGCGAAACGGGAAGCUGCUGUGAGCAAGAGUGCAGCCUAUGCAGGAGGAACAGCAGAAGCAUGAGCAGAAGUAAUAUUAUUUAUUUACUUUAAUGAUGUUUUAAUUUACUUUAUAGCCUUUUUUAUUUACUUUUGAGCUGAGGUAUUUUGAGUUCAACACUUUAUCACCAAACAGUGACAUGCCCCAUCUCCAACUCCAACCCCUACCCAGAUACGAAAUAAAAGAACAAAACUAUGUUACCAUAA